UGCUUGAACGUGGCAGAAAAAUUCUAACGGAGUCAUCGCGCAAUCUUCAGGUCUGCAGGCAGAACCACGUUCUUUUUCCCAUUUUUCGAGACAGAUUUGUGCGUGUGUAUGUCUGGAUAGAGUACCCAAUAGGCAUCGCGGUAUUUAUAAUACGACUUAGAUUAGUAAUUCACGGCGUUCUCACAAAUUGAUCCUUUUGGCACAUCGUUUUUCCGCCGAAGUGCAUCGUACAGAAAUCAUAACCGCAGACGGCCGAUACAUACAAGUCAUUUACCAUAAAGACGAACUUGGCCCAUGACAGGAGCAGGCGUUUCAAGUAACAAGAGCGUCACCGGAUUAUUCGCGUAAUGGGGUGCUCAGAGAAAUCUCUUCGCUUAACUAUAGUCAUGGAAGGACUACGCUGUGACAUUGUAUAAAGUGGACGAUAAAGGAGUAAUACUGCGAAUUGGGCUUGAUUAAAAGAAACCGACUGUUUCUGUCGCUGCGGCUGCUGAGAUAUGUUGAAGUAAUAGCAGUAACAUUGAAGCCUAUUCAUCGUCUGCUACAGUUAAAUGCCAAAUUUGUCCAGCGUCAAUGUCUCAGUCCAGUCGGCGGACGUCGCGAGACUCACGCGACCAGUUAGGGCAUACGAAAUAAAUAAAAUCAA
rnacentral:lncRNA from 1 species